UCCCUGUGACUGUGUGGGUUUGCUCCGUGUGCUCCGGUUUCCUCCCAAAUUCCAAAGAUGUACAGGUUUGUAGGUUAAUUGCCGUUGGUAAAACAGUAAAUUGUGGUCUAGAUGAGAGGAUGGUGGAGA